AUUGAACGCUGGCGGCAGGCCUAACACAUGCAAGUCGAGCGGAGCGGCGGACGGGUGAGUAAUGCCUAGGAAUCUGCCUGGUAGUGGGGGAUAACGUCCGGAAACGGGCGCUAAUACCGCAUACUAUCAAAUGAGCCUAGGUCGGAUUAGCUAGUUGGUGGGGUAAAGGCCUACAAAGGCGACGAUACUUAACUGGUCUGAGAGGAUGAUCAGGACAACUGGAACUGGUACACGGUCCAGACGCCGACGUGAGGCAGCAGUGGGGAAUAUUGGACAAUGGGCGAAAGCCUGAUCCAGCCAUUCCGCGUGUGUGAAGAAGGGCUUCGGAUUGUAAAGCACUUUAAGUUGGGAGGCGUUACCAACAGAAUAAGCACCGGCUAACUUCGUGCCAGCAGCCGCGGUAAUAC
rnacentral:rRNA from 1 species